rnacentral:rRNA from 1 species
UACGGGGGGGGUAAGCGUUGUUCGGAAUCAUUGGGCGUAAAGAGCGUGUAGGCGGCCCGAUAAGUCCGCCGUGAAAGUCCAGGGCUCAACCCUGGAAUGCCGGUGGAAACUGUCGGGCUGGAGUCCGGAAGAGGCGAGUGGAAUUCCUGGUGUAGCGGUGAAAUGCGCAGAUAUCAGGAGGAACACCAAUGGCGAAGGCAGCUCGCUGGGACGGUACUGACGCUGAGACGCGAAAGCGUGGGGAGCAAACAGG